rnacentral:rRNA from 1 species
GAGCGGGGAUAGCCCUGGGAAACUGGGAUUAAUACCGCAUAGUAUCGAAAGAUUAAAGCAGCAAUGCGCUUGGGGAUGGGCUCGCGGCCUAUUAGUUAGUUGGUGAGGUAACGGCUCACCAAGGCGAUGACGGGUAGCCGGUCUGAGAGGAUGUCCGGCCACACUGGAACUGAGACACGGUCCAGACACCUACGGGUGGCAGCAGUCGAGAAUCAUUCACAAUGGGGGAAACCCUGAUGGUGCGACGCCGCGUGGGGGAAUGAAGGUCUUCGGAUUGUAAACCCCUGUCAUGUGGGAGCAAAUUAAAAAGAUAGUACCACAAGAGGAAGAGACGGCUAACUCUGUGCCAGCAGCCGCGGUAAUACAGAGGUCUCAAGCGUUGUUCGGAAUCACUGGGCGUAAAGCGUGCGUAGGCUGUUUCGUAAGUCGUGUGUGAAAGGCGCGGGCUCAACCCGCGGACGGCACAUGAUACUGCGAGACUAGAGUAAUGGAGGGGGAACCGGAAUUCUCGGUGUAGCAGUGAAAUGCGUAGAUAUCGAGAGGAACACUCGUGGCGAAGGCGGGUUCCUGGACAUUAACUGACGCUGAGGCACGAAGGCCAGGGGAGCGAAAGAGAUUAGAUACCCCUGUAGUCCUGGCAGUAAACGGU